rnacentral:rRNA from 1 species
UCCUACGGGGGGCUGCAGUAACGAAUCUUCCGCAAUGCACGAAAGUGUGACGGAGCGACGCCGCGUGUAGGACGAAGUCCUUCGGGAUGUAAACUACUGUCAGGGGAAAGAAAGUUCUGAUCUACCCCAAAGGAAGAGGCGGCUAACUCUGUGCCAGCAGCCGCGGUAAUACAGAGGCCUCGAGCGUUAGGCGGAACCACUGGGCUUAAAGCGUGUGUAGGUGGAUGCCUAAGUACUUUGUGAAAUCCCACAGCUUAACUGUGGAAUUGCUUGGUAUACUGGGCGUCUUGAGCCACUCAGGGGCUACCGGAACAAACGGUGGAGCGGUGAAAUGCGUAGAUAUCGUUUGGAACGCCUAUGGUGAAAACAGGUAGCUGGGGGUGUGCUGACACUGAGACACGAAAGCCAGGGGAGCGAACGGGAUUAGAUACCCCAGUAGUCCU